UACGUAGGUGGCGAGCGUUGUCCGGAAUUACUGGGUGUAAAGCGCGUGUAGGCGGGAGGCCAAGUCUGUGGUGAAAUCGCUCGGCUUAACUGGGCGGGGUCCAUGGAAACUGGUCACCUGGAGGUCGGUAGAGGCAAGUGGAAUUCCAGGUGUAGCGGUGAAAUGCGUAGAUAUCUGGAGGAACACCGGUGGCGAAGGCGGCAUCCUGGACCGAUACUGACGCUGAGGAGCGAAAGCCAGGGGAGCAAACGGG
rnacentral:rRNA from 1 species